rnacentral:rRNA from 1 species
ACAGAGGUCUCGAGCGUUGUUCGGAUUCAUUGGGCGUAAAGGGUGCGUAGGCGGCGAGGUAAGUCAGGUGUGAAAUCCCGGGGCUCAACUCCGGAACUGCACUUGAUACUGCCUUGCUAGAGUACUGGAGAGGGAACUGGAAUUUACGGUGUAGCAGUGAAAUGCGUAGAUAUCGUAAGGAAGACCAGUGGCGAAGGCGAGUUCCUGGACAGUUACUGACGCUGAGGCACGAAGGCCAGGGGAGCAAACGGGA